ACCGGCAGCUAAAGUGGUAGCCGCUAUUAUUGGGCCUAAAGCGUUCGUAGCCGGAUAAGUAAGUCUUUGGUUAAAUCCCGCAACUUAACUGUGGGAAAUCCAGGGAUAAUGCUCGACUUGAGACCGGGAGAGGUUAGGGGUACCUCUAGGGGAGGGGUGAAAUCCUAUAAUCCUGGGAGGACCACCUGUGGCGAAGGCGUCUAACUGGAACGGAUCUGACGGUGAGGAACGAAAGCUAGGGGAGCGAGCUG
rnacentral:rRNA from 1 species